AUCUUUCCAUUGUAUAUUUAGUUUAGUUUGAAAUCACCUUACAUUUAAUAUUUAAAGUUGUGGUCAAAACCCAGCUAUCACCUGUUAUAAAGGGACAAAAAGUGUCUUUAUCAAACUAAGACGAUUUUUUUCUUUAACUUUCAGCUUGAAAACAACUAGUCAAAAACAAUACAGAAAAGAAGUGUUACUGCUAGUGAACUGAAAAUUCAAUUACCUGAAAAGCUGUUAUUCUCAUUUCAGUAUCGGGUCUUGACCACAGAGGGUGGUUAGUGUGCAGCACUGCAGUACACACAACCCAACCUGCUGCAAAAUUACUCCCCCAGAUGGAUCCCCUCCACUAAGGACAAUAUAAGUCAGACAUUAGAAGGUGGGGCACAAUGCUGCGCUUGGGAAGAUGCUUUCCUUCGAAAUAAGGCUGAGCUACAAGGAAAACUGCCUGCAGAAGAGCUUUGCUGAAUUUAAGAAUCAUGUUCUGUCUGAGUACGGAAUUA
rnacentral:lncRNA from 1 species